GUGCUUUGGUAGCACAUACACUAAAAUGGAACGAUACAGAGAAGAUUAGCUUCGCCCCUGCACAAGGAUGACAUGCAAAUUCGUGAAGCAUUCUGUAUUUUU